UACAGAGGGUGCAAGCGUUAAUCGGAAUUACUGGGCGUAAAGCGCGCGUAGGUGGUUUGUUAAGUUGGAUGUGAAAGCCCCGGGCUCAACCUGGGAACUGCAUCCAAAACUGGCAAGCUAGAGUACGGUAGAGGGUGGUGGAAUUUCCUGUGUAGCGGUGAAAUGCGUAGAGAUCGGGAGGAACACCCGUGGCGAAGGCGGCCACCUGGACUGAUACUGACACUGAGGUGCGAAAGCGUGGGGAGCAAACAGG
rnacentral:rRNA from 1 species